CCUACGGGGGGCAGCAGUGGGGGAUAUUGCACAAUGGGGGGAACCCUGAUGCAGCGACGCCGCGGGGGUGAAGAAGGGCCUCGGCGCGGAAAGCCCUGUCAGCAGGGAAGAAAAGGACGGUACCUGAAGAAGAAGCCCCGGCUAACGACGGGCCAGCAGCCGCGGUAAUACGUAGGGGGCAAGCGUGAUCCGGAUUUACUGGGUGUAAAGGGGGCGCAGACGGCGAUGCAAGCCAGGAGUGAAAGCCCGGGGCCCAACCCCGGGACUGCUCGUGGAACUGCGUGGCUGGAGUGCAGGAGGGGCAGGCGUCAUUCCUGGUGUAGCGGUGAACUGCGUCGAUAUCCGGCGGAACCCCGGUGGCGAAGGCGGCCUGCUGGACUGCAACUGCCGUUGAGGCCCGAAAGCGUG
rnacentral:rRNA from 1 species